rnacentral:rRNA from 1 species
UACGAAGGGGGCUAGCGUUGCUCGGAAUCACUGGGCGUAAAGGGUGCGUAGGCGGGUCUUUAAGUCAGGGGUGAAAUCCUGGAGCUCAACUCCAGAACUGCCUUUGAUACUGAAGAUCUUGAGUUCGGGAGAGGUGAGUGGAACUGCGAGUGUAGAGGUGAAAUUCGUAGAUAUUCGCAAGAACACCAGUGGCGAAGGCGGCUCACUGGCCCGAUACUGACGCUGAGGCGCGAAAGCGUGGGGAGCAACAGG